rnacentral:rRNA from 1 species
UGCCAGCCGCCGCGGUAAUACGGAGGGUGCGAGCGUUAAUCGGAAUUACUGGGCGUAAAGCGCGCGUAGGCGGCUGAGUAAGUCAGAUGUGAAAGCCCCGGGCUCAACCUGGGAAUGGCAUUUGAGACUGUUCGGCUAGAGUCUGUCAGAGGGUGGCGGAAUUCCGGGUGUAGCGGUGAAAUGCGUAGAUAUCCGGAGGAACAUCGGUGGCGAAGGCGGCCACCUGGGGCAAGACUGACGCUGAGGGGCGAAAGCGUGGGGAGCGAACAGGAUUAGAUA